rnacentral:rRNA from 2 species
UUAAGCGACUAAGCGUACACGGUGGAUGCCCUGGCAGUCAGAGGCGAUGAAGGACGUGCUAAUCUGCGAUAAGCGUCGGUAAGGUGAUAUGAACCGUUAUAACCGGCGAUUUCCGAAUGGGGAAACCCAGUGUGAUUCGUCACACUAUCAUUAACUGAAUCCAUAGGUUAAUGAGGCGAACCGGGGGAACUGAAACAUCUAAGUACCCCGAGGAAAAGAAAUCAACCGAGAUUCCCCCAGUAGCGGCGAGCGAACGGGGAGCAGCCCAGAGCCUGAAUCAGUGUGUGUGUUAGUGGAAGCGUCUGGAAAGGCGCGCGAUACAGGGUGACAGCCCCGUACACAAAAAUGCACAUGCUGUGAGCUCGAUGAGUAGGGCGGGACACGUGGUAUCCUGUCUGAAUAUGGGGGGACCAUCCUCCAAGGCUAAAUACUCCUGACUGACCGAUAGUGAACCAGUACCGUGAGGGAAAGGCGAAAAGAACCCCGGCGAGGGGAGUGAAAAAGAACCUGAAACCGUGUACGUACAAGCAGUGGGAGCACGCUUAGGCGUGUGACUGCGUACCUUUUGUAUAAUGGGUCAGCGACUUAUAUUCUGUAGCAAGGUUAACCGAAUAGGGGAGCCGAAGGGAAACCGAGUCUUAACUGGGCGUUAAGUUGCAGGGUAUAGACCCGAAACCCGGUGAUCUAGCCAUGGGCAGGUUGAAGGUUGGGUAACACUAACUGGAGGACCGAACCGACUAAUGUUGAAAAAUUAGCGGAUGACUUGUGGCUGGGGGUGAAAGGCCAAUCAAACCGGGAGAUAGCUGGUUCUCCCCGAAAGCUAUUUAGGUAGCGCCUCGUGAAUUCAUCUCCGGGGGUAGAGCACUGUUUCGGCAAGGGGGUCAUCCCGACUUACCAACCCGAUGCAAACUGCGAAUACCGGAGAAUGUUAUCACGGGAGACACACGGCGGGUGCUAACGUCCGUCGUGAAGAGGGAAACAACCCAGACCGCCAGCUAAGGUCCCAAAGUCAUGGUUAAGUGGGAAACGAUGUGGGAAGGCCCAGACAGCCAGGAUGUUGGCUUAGAAGCAGCCAUCAUUUAAAGAAAGCGUAAUAGCUCACUGGUCGAGUCGGCCUGCGCGGAAGAUGUAACGGGGCUAAACCAUGCACCGAAGCUGCGGCAGCGACGCUGAUGCGUUGUUGGGUAGGGGAGCGUUCUGUAAGCCUGUGAAGGUGUACUGUGAGGUAUGCUGGAGGUAUCAGAAGUGCGAAUGCUGACAUAAGUAACGAUAAAGCGGGUGAAAAGCCCGCUCGCCGGAAGACCAAGGGUUCCUGUCCAACGUUAAUCGGGGCAGGGUGAGUCGACCCCUAAGGCGAGGCCGAAAGGCGUAGUCGAUGGGAAACAGGUUAAUAUUCCUGUACUUGGUGUUACUGCGAAGGGGGGACGGAGAAGGCUAUGUUGGCCGGGCGACGGUUGUCCCGGUUUAAGCGUGUAGGCUGGUUUUCCAGGCAAAUCCGGAAAAUCAAGGCUGAGGCGUGAUGACGAGGCACUACGGUGCUGAAGCAACAAAUGCCCUGCUUCCAGGAAAAGCCUCUAAGCAUCAGGUAACAUCAAAUCGUACCCCAAACCGACACAGGUGGUCAGGUAGAGAAUACCAAGGCGCUUGAGAGAACUCGGGUGAAGGAACUAGGCAAAAUGGUGCCGUAACUUCGGGAGAAGGCACGCUGAUAUGUAGGUGAAGCGACUUGCUCGUGGAGCUGAAAUCAGUCGAAGAUACCAGCUGGCUGCAACUGUUUAUUAAAAACACAGCACUGUGCAAACACGAAAGUGGACGUAUACGGUGUGACGCCUGCCCGGUGCCGGAAGGUUAAUUGAUGGGGUCAGCGCAAGCGAAGCUCUUGAUCGAAGCCCCGGUAAACGGCGGCCGUAACUAUAACGGUCCUAAGGUAGCGAAAUUCCUUGUCGGGUAAGUUCCGACCUGCACGAAUGGCGUAAUGAUGGCCAGGCUGUCUCCACCCGAGACUCAGUGAAAUUGAACUCGCUGUGAAGAUGCAGUGUACCCGCGGCAAGACGGAAAGACCCCGUGAACCUUUACUAUAGCUUGACACUGAACAUUGAGCCUUGAUGUGUAGGAUAGGUGGGAGGCUUUGAAGUGUGGACGCCAGUCUGCAUGGAGCCGACCUUGAAAUACCACCCUUUAAUGUUUGAUGUUCUAACGUUGACCCGUAAUCCGGGUUGCGGACAGUGUCUGGUGGGUAGUUUGACUGGGGCGGUCUCCUCCUAAAGAGUAACGGAGGAGCACGAAGGUUGGCUAAUCCUGGUCGGACAUCAGGAGGUUAGUGCAAUGGCAUAAGCCAGCUUGACUGCGAGCGUGACGGCGCGAGCAGGUGCGAAAGCAGGUCAUAGUGAUCCGGUGGUUCUGAAUGGAAGGGCCAUCGCUCAACGGAUAAAAGGUACUCCGGGGAUAACAGGCUGAUACCGCCCAAGAGUUCAUAUCGACGGCGGUGUUUGGCACCUCGAUGUCGGCUCAUCACAUCCUGGGGCUGAAGUAGGUCCCAAGGGUAUGGCUGUUCGCCAUUUAAAGUGGUACGCGAGCUGGGUUUAGAACGUCGUGAGACAGUUCGGUCCCUAUCUGCCGUGGGCGCUGGAGAACUGAGGGGGGCUGCUCCUAGUACGAGAGGACCGGAGUGGACGCAUCACUGGUGUUCGGGUUGUCAUGCCAAUGGCACUGCCCGGUAGCUAAAUGCGGAAGAGAUAAGUGCUGAAAGCAUCUAAGCACGAAACUUGCCCCGAGAUGAGUUCUCCCUGACUCCUUGAGAGUCCUGAAGGAACGUUGAAGACGACGACGUUGAUAGGCCGGGUGUGUAAGCGCAGCGAUGCGUUGAGCUAACCGGUACUAAUGAACCGUGAGGCUUAACCUU